GUGCUGGCUUGGGCAGCACAUACACUAAAAUUGGAACAAUACAGAGAAGAUUAGCACAGC
rnacentral:snRNA from 1 species